UACGAAGGGGGCGAGCGUUGUUCGGAAUUACUGGGCGUAAAGGGCGCGUAGGCGGUUUAGCGAGUCAGGCGUGAAAUUCCCGGGCUUAACCUGGGGGCUGCGCUUGAUACUGCUAGGCUUGAAUUCGGGAGAGGAUGGCGGAAUUCCCAGUGUAGAGGUGAAAUUCGUAGAUAUUGGGAAGAACACCGGUGGCGAAGGCGGCCAUCUGGCCCGGGAUUGACGCUGAGGCGCGAAAGCGUGGGGAGCAAACAGG
rnacentral:rRNA from 1 species